ACACUCCUCAUAUACUCUCUCUCUCUCUCUCUCUCUCUCUCUGUCUAUCAACUCUAUAUUCUAUAUAUAGGCAGCCAUGGAACGGACAAGCACAGCUUUAAAUAGAAACUAGAAGACUGACAGCGCUAGAGCCAGGCAAAUUGAUCUGACUACGAGCUGACGAAGCAGUUUCCCAACAAUAAGCCACACACAUGCUUGUAAAUGAGAGGCCAAAAUUUUAUGCCAAGUGCCCGGGGCAAAGGAGACGGGACACGGGACACGGGACCCGGGACCCGGCACGCAGGAUGCAGGAUGAAGGACGAAGGACGAAACACGAAAGACGGCAUGCGUUCUCUAGCACACACUUCCGGCACGAGCWCGUCAGACUUGACUUGACUUGAGACUUCAGAAAACUUGGCUACUCUCGCUCUGUCUCUCUUUUUCGCUUUAGAGCGGGGCGUGGCAGCACCCCAGAUGUCUCAGGUAAUUAUGCAUAUUUAAGCAGUUUUGUCUACAACAGUUUUGCGAACCUAAAAGCGUCCUUUCAAAUGAAUUAUUUAUGCAAACUGUGUGAGGGGACGCAGGGUGGGCGGGGCGUGGCACAGAGCGUAGCUAGGAUCCUGGCAUAUGCAAACAUUACCUCAAGUCGUUGUCAAGUGGAUUUAAUGGAGCCUGGGGCCUGACAGCCCCGUUGUAUACGUAAUGUGGUAAUGUGUUUAUGUGCUCUUUAAAGCCCAUCCGCACACACACACGCACACCAGCACGCACGCACACGCACACGCACACACGUUGACGGCGGUCUGUAGUUAUAAUUGCGUCCCUCUAAAUACACAUGGAAAUGCCAUACAUCUACAUAGAAAUGUGUACUUCUAUAUUGCGCCUUGAAAUUAAUGCCACACUAUUAAUGCUAAUGUCGAAACAUCGCUCCAACGCACUUCACAUUUGUCAAUGACGAAACAUUUACGCCAUCCAUACCCUAUCGGGAAAAACAGCAAGUAGGUUAGAGGGCAUAUUCAACUAGUGGGAAGCUAUGUGACAGCUUUGGGUAAACAGA